GGCUCAGGACGAACGCUGGCGGCGUGCUUAACACAUGCAAGUCGAACGGUGAAGCCCUUCGGGGUGGAUCAGUGGCGAACGGGUGAGUAACACGUGGGCAAUCUGCCCUGCACUCUGGGACAAGCCCUGGAAACGGGGUCUAAUACCGGAUAUUACCUUCCUCUGCAUGGGGGUUGGUGGAAAGCUCCGGCGGUGCAGGAUGAGCCCGCGGCCUAUCAGCUUGUUGGUGGGGUAAUGGCCUACCAAGGCGACGACGGGUAGCCGGCCUGAGAGGGCGACCGGCCACACUGGGACUGAGACACGGCCCAGACUCCUACGGGAGGCAGCAGUGGGGAAUAUUGCACAAUGGGCGCAAGCCUGAUGCAGCGACGCCGCGUGAGGGAUGACGGCCUUCGGGUUGUAAACCUCUUUCAGCAGGGAAGAAGCGCAAGUGACGGUACCUGCAGAAGAAGCACCGGCUAACUACGUGCCAGCAGCCGCGGUAAUACGUAGGGUGCGAGCGUUGUCCGGAAUUAUUGGGCGUAAAGAGCUCGUAGGCGGCCUGUCGCGUCGGAUGUGAAAGCCCGGGGCUUAACCCCGGGUCUGCAUUCGAUACGGGCAGGCUAGAGUGUGGUAGGGGAGAUCGGAAUUCCUGGUGUAGCGGUGAAAUGCGCAGAUAUCAGGAGGAACACCGGUGGCGAAGGCGG
rnacentral:rRNA from 1 species